UCCCAGGUGGCUCAGAGGUAAAGAAUCUGCCUGCCAAGCAGAAGAUGUGACUUCAAUCCCUGGGUU
rnacentral:tRNA from 1 species